rnacentral:tRNA from 1 species
GAUGUAGCUCAGAGGUAGAGUGCUUGCCUAACAUGUAUGAAGCCCUGGGUUCAAUCCCCAACCCAACCA